AGGGAAGCCGGUGAGGCCGCCCCGCGUGGCGGCCGAGGCCGGCACGGUCCCGCCACUGUGAGUGGGGAGGGGGCUCCCACGCGACGGCCACUGUGCGCCCGAGCGCGGAUGGGAAGGCCGGGAGCCCGCGACGAUCCACGAGUCAGGAGAUCU
rnacentral:ncRNA from 2 species